AUUAUGACAUACUUGAAGUAAAGUUUUACACUCAGGAUUAUCAACUUAAAAUCAAUGGCCAGAGACAUUUCAGCAUGUUCACUCUUGAAAACAAAUGUUCAAAGUUUUGCGGAAAUUAUGAUAGACAGAGAGGUUUUAAGUGGCAUGUAUCAACAUGCAUUAAUAUACAUUAAACAACAAAAUAUCAUCGACACAAGAUCUACAAAAAAAUCCAGGUGAGUCAUUUAGAUUCUUUACAUUCGUUGUUAAUAGUACAAGUAUACACAUCCUUUUUAUCGUAUUAGUCAUGUAUGGAAAGGAAGCCUAGAUCAGUUAUUUUAUUUUGUCAAAUUCUUUCAAGACAACUGUAUAAUUUAAGGGAGAAAUUGGAGGCAACAGUAGUUAGACUAAGUUAACUCGUAAAUAGAUUAGGAAUAGACCAUUCAAGAUGUGAUCAAUCAAGAUGUCUCUAGUGAGAUGAGACUGAGAGCAAAAGUUCAAAAAUGUGUACUUUUAUAUCUUUUGAAAAAAUGCUGAAUAAGCAUUCUAUGACAUGGUAUAGCUUUAAUUAUUAAACUAUUCUAUAUUCGUCUUAUAAUGAACUAAACAUGUUGCUCUUUUUAAAGUAAUAUAAAAAAGACAAAAGAUUGCAAACUCAAAAGCUGAAAACAAAAUAAGCGUGAAAGGAAAAAUGACAAAAAGACAACAACUCGUUACAAAGAAAAUUUAGAUUAAGCAAUAUACACCCUACCAAAAAUCUGCGACGAUUUCAGGUGCUGCUGUAGUAUCGUUUAGAUAUUAUUUACCAGCAAUUUAAAAAAAAUAAUAAAUACAUAUUUGAACAAUACAACAAAGAAUUUUUCAUCACAGGAUCUUGAUAAAGGAAUUCGAAUGUGGAAUGGUGGUAGCUAACCACGGAUCCAAGAAAAGACACGUAUAGGUCAAUAAACAUGAUAUUAAAAUAGAGAUGUGGUAUAUUAAUUUCAAGUGAGAUGUCUGUUUAUUACAAGCUAUAGCUACUGGUAGAAAAAGAUCCAGUAAAAUUAAAUUUUAUCAAGGAUGGGAGAGGACUUGUUAUCUGAAAGACAGUGAAAACACAAAAUCCUUCAACAAUUUAUGAAAAGCGUAUAUGACAGACACGAACCAACGACAACCACUGAACUUAGGGCUCUUUAAUUGCUUGAAACAGUUACAUAAAGAAUUUGGCAGGGUUAAAAAUGUCUGUGUGCGCUCAUUUCUCCAAAAACUAGCACAGCACAAGACCAAACUAUAAAAAAAUCAGUUGAAAGAUCGGAUUAUCUUUCAAUACUAUCAUUGACGAAAUCAGAUGCGGAUCCCGCCAGUGGCGGAUCCAGAAAUUUUCAUAAGUGGGGGCCCACUGACUGACCUAAGAGGGGGCCCGCUCCGGUCACGCUUCAGUGAUUCCCUAUAUAAGCAACCAAAUUUUUUUCCAAAAAGGGGGGGCCCGGGCCCCCUGGGCCCCCCCCCCAAAUCCGCCUCUGCCCGCCUUUCUGCAAAAGGGUGAUCCAAACCACGGAAUACUCUGAAAUGUCCAAAAAAUAAAAAUAAAAUCGAACAAAAAAAAAAAACUCCCUCUCCCUGCAUACCGGAUCCGCUAAUGCAGGCUGCAUCCAUUAAAAUAAAAGCUUCAAACAUAAGUAACACUUUUGAGUGUGUAAUUUAGGUCUAAAAAAAUGACAAUACCAAAUAACUAACUGUUAUUAAAUCGUAACAGAAAAAGGAGAGAAAAACCAUGCCAGACAUAUAUUGCUUUGGAUUGCAGUAGUUUUAAUAAAUAUUUAUAUGACAAAAGUAUCAUGGAAAACAUAAACUGCACAUGAAUGUGGCAGAAGAGAUAGUAGUAAGCAUUAUCUACUUAAGAGUUAUAAUUAGUCAUAUGCCACUAGAAACUAUUACAGAAAAAUGCAAUGAGUGUGUAGGUAAAGGUAAUACCUUUGACCAGCUUGCUUGCUAGCUGGACCAUGAAGUCAUACAUGUAACAAGGUAAAGUAGAUUACCCUCCUUUCGGAGUAGUCUAGUUAGAUUUCUACUGGGACAAUGGCUGUGAAACUUUCAGACAGGUAAGACUACAUAUCAGAAAAAGUACAUGUGAAAAUUCAGGUAGCAAAUAUUGAUUCUUCGAUGUUUAUUUGACAUUUUUUGAUCGAUUUACACAGAGCUCCACCAUUCUAAGGAAAACGUUUGAAUGCAAAUAUCUUUUUUAUUAUUUUAGUGGUUCAAAUUUACAUAAAGAAUGUUUUAGCUACCAAAACUUGAAGAAGAAACGUUAUAUAGUAACAUAGUUCAUCAAAGUUUCCAUCAAGCAACUUGUUAUUUUGCAAAUGUCGGACACCCGCUUGACAGUCUCCCGAAUGACCAAAUUAUUAGAAAACCGUAUAGUUCCGUUCCCACACUGUGGAAGGGAUACGUUCUAAAUUGGAGGGAUUAACUGGUGGUCUGACAUCUAAAGUGUCACAAAUUAUUCUCUCGAAGGGCUAUCUAACAAGAAUAAGAACACGCUGAAAGAACCUGUGCAUCAACACUAUAGAAUUGUUUAGGAUGUACUUAGGUAAGGUUUUGGAAUAAGUGUCAAAUGUACGGACUCCUUGGUGUUUUUCCAUAUGAUACAAUGUAAAAUAUUUUGCCCCAUAACACCUAUUUUAUCUUGAACAUAAGACUUAAUAGCUCAUAAAAGGUCAUUAGACAAAAUUUAAGCAGAUUCUUGAUUUUCUUUCUUUUGAUUUGAGACCCAAAUAAUAUCGAUGAAAAUAUUAGGUAAAAGUCCGAGUCAGCCUUUUCCCGC
rnacentral:lncRNA from 1 species